CACCCGUUCCCAUUCCGAACACGGAAGUUAAGCUCUUCAGCGCCGAUGGUAGUUGGGGGAUCUCCCCCUGUGAGAGUAGGACGUCGCCAAGC
rnacentral:rRNA from 1 species